UGGGGAAUAUUGGACAAUGGGGGGAACCCUGAUCCAGCCAUGCCGCGUGUGUGAAGAAGGCCUUAUGGUUGUAAAGCACUUUAAGCGAGGAGGAGGGUACUGGUAUUAAUACUACCAGGUACUGGACGUUACUCGCAGAAUAAGCACCGGCUAACUCUGUGCCAGCAGCCGCGGUAAUACAGAGGGUGCGAGCGUUAAUCGGAUUUACUGGGCGUAAAGCGUGCGUAGGCGGCUAAUUGAGUCGGAUGUGAAAUCCCCGAGCUUAACUUGGGAAUUGCAUUCGAUACUGGUUAGCUAGAGUGUGGGAGAGGAUGGUAGAAUGCCAGGUGUAGCGGUGAAAUGCGUAGAGAUCUGGGGGAAUACCGAUGGCGAAGGCAGCCAUCUGGCCUAACACUGACGCUGAGGUACGAAAGCAUGGGGAGCAAACAGG
rnacentral:rRNA from 1 species